GACCGCUCCGGUAGCCUAGUGGUUAAAGCGUCCACCUCUGAUCCGGGAGGUUGCGGGUUCGAUAUCUGACCGAGUCA